UAGUCCACGCCGUAAACUAUGGAUACUCGGUGCAUGCCUAUUAUAGGGGUGUGUGCCUUAGCGAAAGCGUUAAGUAUCCCACCUGGGGAGUACGUCGGCAACGAUGAAACUCAAAGGAAUUGACGGGGGUCCGCACAAGCGGUGGAGUAUGUGGUUUAAUUCGAUGAUACGCGAGGAACCUUACCUAGACUAAAUGUGAACGACGGAUACAGAGAUGUAUCUUUCUUCGGACGUGAAACAAGGUGCUGCAUGGUUGUCGUCAGCUCGUGCCGUGAGGUGUUGGGUUAAGUCCCGCAACGAGCGCAACCCCUAUUCUUAGUUGCCAUCAGGUUAUGCUGGGGACUCUAGGAAGACUGCCUACGCAAGUAGUGAGGAAGGCGGGGACGACGUCAAAUCAUCAUGGCCCUUACGUCUAGGGCUACACACGUACUACAAUGGUCGGUACAACGGGCAGCGAGCUAGUAAUAGUCAGCAAAUCUCGAAAAGCCGAUCUCAGUUCGGAUUGUGGU
rnacentral:rRNA from 1 species